rnacentral:rRNA from 1 species
ACUAAAUAGAUACCCGGGUAGUCCACGCCCUAAACGAUGUCUACUAGUUGUUGGUGGAGUAAAAUCCAUGAGUAAACGCAGCUAAACGCGUGAAGUAGACCGCCUGGGGAGUACGGUCGCAAGAUUAAAACUCAAAGGAAUUGACGGGGGCCCGGCACAAGCGGUGGAUUAUGUGGAUUAAUUCGAUGCAACGCGAAAAACCUUACCUGGCCUUGACAUGCCACUAACGAAGCAGAGAUGCAUUAGGUGCCCGUAAGGGAAAGUGGACACAGGUGCUGCAUGGCUGUCGUCAGCUCGUGUCGUGAGAUGUUGGGUUAAGUCCCGCAACGAGCGCAACCCUUGCCAUUAAUUGCCAUCA